AUGGUUGUUGAAGCAUCUCUGAGCUGCCUACGGAAGGGACUAAACUCCAUCGUUCUGCUAACCACCUGGGCCAUUUGGAAGCACCACAACGCUGCUAUUUUUGAAGGCCUACAUCCCUCCACCGACGACCUGGUACUCUCGAUCAAGGACGACGCCCGUCUAUGGACCAAGGCGGGCACAAAAGGAUAA
rnacentral:rRNA from 1 species